UGCGUAGGCGGGCUAAUAAGUCAGUGGUGAAAUCUCUCGGCUCAACCGGGAAACUGCGAUUGAUACUGUUAGUCUUGAGUUCGGUUGAGGUAGGCGGAAUGUGUAAUGUAGCGGUGAAAUGCUUAGAUAUUACACAGAACACCAAUUGCGUAGGCAGCUUACUAGACCGAAACUGACGCUGAGGCACGAAAGCGUGGGGAGCGAACAGGAUUAGAUACCCUGGUAGUCC
rnacentral:rRNA from 1 species